GCUAUGAUGAAUUUUCUGUUCAUCAUCUGAAAUGAUGAUGCUUUCAUGUCCUCUAAGAAGUUCUGAGCCU
rnacentral:snoRNA from 1 species